rnacentral:rRNA from 1 species
UACGUAGGGGGCAAGCGUUGUCCGGAUUUAUUGGGCGUAAAGGGCGUGUAGGCGGUACGAUACGUAGCGGUUCUAAGCCUCCGGCUCACCCGGAGGAGGGCGGCUAAACGGUCGCACUGGAGGGCAGGAGAGGUGAAUGGAAUUCCUAGUGGAGCGGUGAAAUGCGUAGAGAUUAGGAAGAACACCAGUGGCGAAGGCGAUGCACUGGCCUGACCCUGACGCUGAGGCGUGACAGCGUGGGGAGCGAACGGGAUUAGAUACCCUCGUAGUCC